CAAAAAGUAGCUUACACCAAAGCGCUCACCCUACAAGUGAAAGCCGUUACAACUAACCUUUUUGA
rnacentral:tRNA from 1 species